GCACAACGCGAAGAACCUUACCAACCCUUGACAUGUGUAUCGCGGUUCCAGAGAUGGUUCCUUCAGUUCGGCUGGAUACAACACAGGUGCUGCAUGGCUGUCGUCAGCUCGUGUCGUGAGAUGUUGGGUUAAGUCCCGCAACGAGCGCAACCCUUUUCCUUAUUUGCCAGCGGGUUAAGCCGGGAACUUUAAGGAUACUGCCAGUGACAAACUGGAGGAAGGCGGGGAUGACGUCAAAUCAUCAUGCCCCUUAUGACCUGGGCUACACACGUACUACAAUGGCCGGUACAAAGGGCUGCGAAACCGCAAGGUGGAGCGAAUCCCAAAAAGCCGGUCUCAGUUCGGAUUGGGGUCUGCAACUCGACCCCAUGAAGUCGGAGUCGCUAGUAAUCGCAGAUCAGCAACGCUGCGGUGAAUACGUUCCCGGGUCUUGUACACACCG
rnacentral:rRNA from 1 species